AUUGAACGCUGGCGGCAGGCCUAACACAUGCAAGUCGAGCGGAUGAAGGGAGCUUGCUCCUGGAUUCAGCGGCGGACGGGGGAGUAAUGCCUAGGAAUCUGCCUGGUAGUGGGGGAUAACGUCCGGAAACGGGCGCUAAUACCGCAUACGUCCUGAGGGAGAAAGUGGGGGAUCUUCGGACCUCACGCUAUCAGAUGAGCCUAGGUCGGAGUAGCUAGUCGGUGGGGUAAAGGCCUACCAAGGCGACGAUCCGUAACUGGUCUGAGAGGAUGAUCAGUCACACUGGAACUGAGACACGGUCCAGACUCCUACGGGAGGCAGCAGUGGGGAAUAUUGGACAAUGGGCGAAAGCCUGAUCCAGCCAUGCCGCGUGUGUGAAGAAGGUCUUCGGAUUGUAAAGCACUUUAAGUUGGGAGGAAGGGCAGUAAGUUAAUACCUUGCUGUUUUGACGUUACCAACAGAAUAAGCACCGGCUAACUUCGUG
rnacentral:rRNA from 1 species